GACGAACGCUGGCGGCGUGCUUAACACAUGCAAGUCGAGCGGUAAGGCCCUUUCGGGGUACGACGAGCGGCGAACGGGUGAGUAACACGUGGGUGACCUGCCCUUACGCUCUGGGAUAAGCCUGGGAAACUGGGUCUAAUACCGGAUAUGACUCCAUGACGCAUGUUGUGGGGUGGAAAGCCUUGUGCGGCUAGGGAUGGGCCCGCGGCCUAUCAGCUUGUUGGUGGGGUGAUGGCCACCAAGGCGACGACGGGUAGCCGGCCUGAGAGGGCGACCGG
rnacentral:rRNA from 1 species